AGAACGAACGCUGGCGGCAUGCCUAAUACAUGCAAGUCGAACGAACUCUUCGGAGUUAGUGGCGCACGGGUGCGUAACGCGUGGGAAUCUGCCCCUUGGUUCGGAAUAACAGUUGGAAACGACUGCUAAUACCGGAUGAUGACGAAAGUCCAAAGAUUUAUCGCCAAGGGAUGAGCCCGCGUAGGAUUAGCUAGUUGGUGAGGUAAAGGCUCACCAAGGCAACGAUCCUUAGCUGGUCUGAGAGGAUGAUCAGCCAC
rnacentral:rRNA from 1 species